rnacentral:rRNA from 1 species
CUGCUCAAUGAUUAAUUAAAUAGCUGCAGUAUAAAUGACUGUACAAAGGUAGCAUAAUAAUUAGGUUUUUAAUUGAAAUCUAGAAUGAAGGAUUUUAAUGAAAUAUAAACUGUCUCAAUUAAAAUAUUUAAAUUUAAUUUUAAGUUAAAAAUCUUAAAUAUAUUUAAAAGACGAGAAGACCCUAAGAAUUUUAUUUAUUGUAUAUUAUAAUUUUUUAUAUUUUUAUAAUAUUUUUUAUAUAAUAAAUUUAUUUGGGGUAAAUUUAAAAUUUUAAAAAUUUUUAAAUUAAAAUUUUACAUUAAUAUAUGAAUAAGUUAAUUUUAUUGUAUAAAUUAAUAAUAUAAAUUACCUUAGGGAUAACAGCAUAAUUUUUUUUAUAAGAUCAAAUUUAAAAUAAAGAUUAUGACCUCGAUGUUGAAUUAAGAUAAAAUUAAAUAUGAAAAAAUUUUAAAAUUUAAGUCUGUUCGACU